rnacentral:rRNA from 1 species
UGGGGAAUAUUGCACAAUGGGCGCAAGCCUGAUGCAGCCAUGCCGCGUGUAUGAAGAAGGCCUUCGGGUUGUAAAGUACUUUCAGCGGGGAGGAAGGUGUUGUGGUUAAUAACCACAGCAAUUGACGUUACCCGCAGAAGAAGCACCGGCUAACUCCGUGCCAGCAGCCGCGGUAAUACGGAGGGUGCAAGCGUUAAUCGGAAUUACUGGGCGUAAAGCGCACGCAGGCGGUCUGUCAAGUCGGAUGUGAAACCCCCGGGCUCAACCUGGGAACUGCAUCCGAAACUGGCAGGCUUGAGUCUUGUAGAGGGGGGUAGAAUUCCAGGUGUAGCGGUGAAAUGCGUAGAGAUCUGGAGGAAUACCGGUGGCGAAGGCGGCCCCCUGGACAAAGACUGACGCUCAGGUGCGAAAGCGUGGGGAGCAAACA